UAGGGAAUCUUCGGCAAUGGGGGGAACCCUGACCGAGCAACGCCGCGUGAGUGAAGAAGGUUUUCGGAUCGUAAAGCUCUGUUGUUAAGGAAGAACGAGUGUGAGAAUGGAAAGUUCAUGCUGUGACGGUACUUAACCAGAAAGGGACGGCUAACUACGUGCCAGCAGCCGCGGUAAUACGUAGGUCCCGAGCGUUGUCCGGAUUUAUUGGGCGUAAAGCGAGCGCAGGCGGUUAGAAAAGUCUGAAGUGAAAGGCAGUGGCUCAACCAUUGUAGGCUUUGGAAACUGUUUAGCUUGAGUGCAGAAGGGGGGAGUGGAAUUCCAUGUGUAGCGGUGAAAUGCGUAGAUAUAUGGAGGAACACCGGUGGCGAAAGCGGCUCUCUGGUCUGUAACUGACGCUGAGGCUCGAAAGCGUGGGGAGCGAACAGG
rnacentral:rRNA from 2 species